rnacentral:tRNA from 67 species
GCGGUUGUGGCGAAGUGGUUAACGCACCUGAUUGUGGUUCAGGCAUUCGUGGGUUCGAUUCCCAUCAGUCGCCCCA